GUCGAUGUUCGGCGAUGCAUCAACCGUGAGGGUUUCAAUCGUGAAUAUAAUAGGGUUAUCAAUUUGAGGUAGUCAAGGUUUUUAAGAUAGUUGUGUCAAGGAAGUUGACAGAUUUCUCAGAGAAGGAAAAGUCAAAUUUGAUGGUAUAAGAUUUUCAGGAGCUUGUUGGAGGAGCUCCUGUUCAAGUGCUGCCAUGAAUAUGUUUGCAUAGGGGUAAUUGUGUUGAUUUCUUUCAACAUGUCUAUACAGGCUUGGAUGCCUUGAUCAUUAGGUAUGUUGGUAUAGAGACUUCUUACGUCAAUAGUAAUAAGUAUGAACUUGUCUGGUAGUGUGUUAUUCUGAGCAAAUAUCCGGCAUAGAAAGUCUGCAGUGUCCUGGACAUAUGAUGGUAUGUGUUGUAGGAGUGGUUUGAGUAGAUGGUCAGCAUAUUGAGAAAGCUUGACUGUUGGUCCACCACAACCGGAGAUAAUAGGUCGACCUGGAAUGUUAGUUUUGUGUAUUUUGGGUAAAAGGUAUAGUUGUGGUGUCCUGGCUUGAUUGUCAAUUGUGAGAUAUUUAAAUGUUGUGUUGUCAAUGGCCUUAGAUUUGUGGAGUUUGUGUGCUAGGGUUUUGGUUUCAGUUAGAAUUUCAGGGGUCGGGUCAUGUGUUAGUUUCUGGUAGUGUUUCUCAUUAUAAA